rnacentral:rRNA from 1 species
UCGAGAAUAUUCCACAAUGGGGGAAACCCUGAUGGAGCGACGCCGCGUGCAGGAAGAAGGUCUUCGGAUUGUAAACUGUUUUUCUAUGGGAAUAAGCUCCGACGAAAGUCGGAGUUGAAGGUACCGUAGAAAUUAGGGGUGACUAACUACGUGCCAGCAGUAGCGGUAAUACGUAGACCCCGAGUGUUAUCCGGAUUUAUUGGGCGUAAAGAGUGCGUAGGAGGUUCGAUGCGUUAACUGUUAAAUUUCACUGCUUAACAGUGAAGCUGCGGUUAAAACGGUCAAACUAGAGGAUGUCAGAGGUCAUUGGAACGUACGGUGUAGGGGUGAAAUCCGUUGAUAUCGUACGGAACACCAAAGGCGAAGGCAAAUGACUGGGGCAUUCCUGACUCUGAGGCACGAAAGCGUGGGGAGCAAAAAGG